UUUGAUCCAUUUCCCAAGUGACUAUACAUACAUAUCCAGCACACUAAAAUUAAAUGUAUAUGCUUGUCAAAUCUUCCCUUCCCUUAGCCAGAUCCCCAAAAUGGCCUUUGUCGCGUCAAUGCCAUCACACAGUAUAAAAGAGAGACCCUAAGCCCAAGUUUCAGGGUGGAUCCAUCUCUAAAAAGUAAACACAUAGAACAACAACAAUGAGGAAAUGAAUGGAAAGAGAACAUUUCAGAGGUCCCUGGUUUUUAUCUCAUUUUGCCUGGGAAGUGCACCUUGAUGCUGAACUACAUUUGUCCCCCGGACACACACUUUCUAGGAAAGUCCUAUCCUGAUGGCCUCUGCCUGUUUGAAAUAUUGGCUCCAUCUUUCCUGUAGACUGAUUUUAGGAUAUUUACUGACACCCCUGGAUCCUUCCCACUGGAUGCCAGGAGCACACUCCCAUCCUUCCUUGUAGUGCAACAUGGAUGGAGCUAGAAGAAAUUAUGCUCAGUGAAGUCAGAAGGAAAAAGAAAAAUAUUGGAUGGCUUCACUUAAAGGAGGAAUAUAAGGGAACCAAUCCUCCAACCAGUACCACUGAGAAACAUGUUUGGCUUUGAGAGCAAAGGAUAAAAAGAAGAAUUGAAUAUAAACGGGAGGGUUGGAGCCAAAUCAUCAAGAAUAAAUGUGAGGAAGUCGUCUGAGGGCUCCACGCAAACCUAUAAACAAUGUGCAUGUGUGCAGUCUUGUGUUCCUGGGCCGUAAAUAAAUAAUAAACAGAUGUUGG